rnacentral:rRNA from 1 species
UACGUAGGGUCCGAGCGUUGUCCGGAAUUAUUGGGCGUAAAGAGCUCGUAGGCGGUCUGUCACGUCGGCUGUGAAAACACGGGGCUCAACUCCGUGCCUGCAGUCGAUACGGGCAGACUAGAGUUCGGUAGGGGAGACUGGAAUUCCUGGUGUAGCGGUGAAAUGCGCAGAUAUCAGGAGGAACACCGGUGGCGAAGGCGGGUCUCUGGGCCGAAACUGACGCUGAGACGCGAAAGCGUGGGGAGCGAACAGG